AUUGAACGCUGGCGGCAGGCCUAACACAUGCAAGUCGAGCGAGCGGCGGACGGGUGAGUAAUGUCUGGGAAACUGCCUGAUGGAGGGGGAUAACUACUGGAAACGGUAGCUAAUACCGCAUACCAUCAGAUGUGCCCAGAUGGGAUUAGGUAGUAGGUGGGGUAACGGCUCACCUAGGCGACGAUCCCUAGCUGGUCUGGGGGGAUGACCAGCCACAGUGGAGCGGAGACACGGUGCAGGCUACUUCGGGAGGCAGCAGUGGGGAGUAUUGCACGAUGGGCGGUAGCCUGAUGCAGCCAUGCCGCGUGUGUGAAGAAGGCCUUCGGGUUGUAAAGCACUUUCAGCGUGGAGGCGUUACCCGCAGAAGAAGCACCGGCUAACUCCGUGCCAGCAGCCGCUAAUUC
rnacentral:rRNA from 1 species